AGCCCACAUCCAUUGGAUAACUGCGUGCCCAUCACCAAGCCAGUGUCACAAAGGGGCGGGAAGAGGGACAAGAUUGGUUACGACACCAAAAGCUGCGCAAGCGCAAUAGGACUGCGUGCUGUGCGCAGGCGCAGUCGUUCUCUUCCACCGCCCUGAGAAACGCAAUAAACCAGCCUUCCCCCUCCCCCUAUCGUGAUGUGCUGGGGUCUUGGUGGUGACUCCUCCCAUUGUCUGGUAGUGAGGGAGGGACAUAUGCUGCUGAGAUGGCAGAUGUUGAGACCUGUGAAAAUUUUGCUCAUCCAGUCAGCACUUACAAAACAAAGAUCUUCGGCUGAGCAGAGUGAACCCAUUCUGCCCAGGAAUAGUAGGGGCAGACAGAAAAGGACACUGGAAGACCUGGUCAUUGGGAUCAACAGAAGGAGCCAGGAGCAGUUUCCCUUUAUGAGGGAAAGGGAAAAACAGGAUACUGAGUAGGAGGAACAGGCUAUGCAGCAGGAGGAACAUUUUUUUCAAAGACAAGCAGUAUUAGUUAUCUGGUUCCGGUAGCAGUACGCACAGAGCUUGCCCAAAGGGACUGGGAGUAUGCCCUGUUGCAAUCCCUGGUACAAGUGAUAGAGGAACAGAAUCGGGUUCUGCCUGCACAAUAGCUGCUCCCAUAACUGGGAACUGGCACCUUCUUCUCCAGCUACUCCUCCUCCUACUGCAUCUACAGCCCACCAAGACACUGAAACAGAGGACCCACCCCAUCCACCACGACAGUCCCAGUCUCUUCAGCACCUUGGCAUCAUUAACCUUUCUUGUGUGUCCAGUGUUAGUGUUCAUAAAUCUGACUUUGUGGUCCACUAUGCCUUGAAGAAUGAGUGAAGAGUAACCUUUUUGAUUGAUGCACUCACUUGUGCCUUUUGGUGGGCAAAAUAGAGGGAUGUAGGUGCCAUCGAUGCCCCCCCACACACACACAGAGUUUGGAAACCCCAUUCUCUGGAACCCAGUGAUAAUUUUUGGUACUUUGGUGAUGGAGACUACCCAAGCAUAGAUGAGUGUUGAAACUUGCACCAGCCUCAACAGUGGACUUCCUCACUCUGAAGUGGUUUGCAACUGACCGGUAGCUGUCUGAUAUUGCCAGCUCCCAGAGGGCAAUAGCCACCCGCUUCUGUGCUGGUAUGGGUCUUCAGAAAUGAGUACUCUGCUGCAGUAGGAUUGAGACCAGCUCCUCACAGAGCUCUAUGAAGGUCUGCUUUCUCAUUCUGAAGUUCUGCAGCCACUGGUCCUCCUGCCAGCUUUCCAAGAUGAUAUGAUCCCACCACACUGUGCUGGUUCUCCUGGUCCAGAAGUGAUGGUCCACCCAUGGACAUACAGUCACAGCACAAGCAGUGUCCUGUGUCUUGGAGUAACAGUGGAUCAGUCACCGUCUCGGUCAUCCGUUUUCAGCUUUUGAGAAGGGUCCAAAUUCAUUCACCUAAGAUUCUUGCUGGUUGUAUCUCACACACACACACAC